GACGAACGCUGGCGGCGUGCCUAACACAUGCAAGUCGAGCGGAGACAGUGAGUAGCUUGCUAUGAGCUGUUUUAGCGGCGGACGGGUGAGUAACGCGUGAGCAACCUUUCCCAGACAGGGGAAUAACACACCGAAAGGUGUACUAAUACCGCAUAAGACCACGGGAUCACAUGGUUCUGGGGUAAAAGAAUUAUCGGUUUGGGGUGGGCUCGCGUCCGAUUAGGUAGUUGGUGAGGUAACGGCCCACCAAGCCGACGAUCGGUAGCCGACCUGAGAGGGUGAUCGGCCACAUUGGGACUGAGACACGGCCCAAACUCCUACGGGAGGCAGCAGUGGGGAAUAUUGGGCAAUGGAGGAAACUCUGACCCAGCAACGCCGCGUGGAGGAAGAAGGUUUUCGGAUCGUAAACUCCUGUCCUUGGAGACGAGUAGAAGACGGUAUCCAAGGAGGAAGCCCCGGCUAACUACGUGCCAGCAGCCGCGGUAAUACGUAGGGGGCAAGCGUUGUCCGGAAUAAUUGGGCGUAAAGGGCGCGUAGGCGGCUCGGUAAGUCUGGAGUGAAAGUCCUGCUUUUAAGGUGGGAAUUGCUUUGGAUACUGUCGGGCUUGAGUGCAGGAGAGGUUAGUGGAAUUCCCAGUGUAGCGGUGAAAUGCGUAGAGAUUGGGAGGAACACCAGUGGCGAAGGCGACUAACUGGACUGUAACUGACGCUGAGGCGCGAAAGUGUGGGGAGCAAACAGGAUUAGAUACCCUGGUAGUCCACACUGUAAACGAUG
rnacentral:rRNA from 1 species